rnacentral:rRNA from 1 species
ACACGUCUACAUUAGAUACCCGGGUAGUCCCAGCCGUAAACUAUGCGCGUUAGGUGUACCGGUGACCACGAGUCACCGAGGUGCCGAAGGGAAACCGUGAAACGUGCCGCCUGGGAAGUACGGUCGCAAGGCUGAAACUUAAAGGAAUUGGCGGGGAGCACCACAACGGGUGGAGCCUGCGGUUUAAUUGGACUCAACGCCGGGAAGCUCACCGGAUAAGACAGCGGAAUGAUUGCCGGGCUGAAGACUCUGCAUGACUAGCUG